GACGAACGCUGGCGGCGUGCCUAAUACAUGCAAGUCGAGCGGAUCUUCAUUAGCUUGCUUUUGAAGAUCAGCGGCGGACGGGUGAGUAACACGUGCGCAACCUGCCUGUAAGACUGGGAUAACUUCGGGAAACCGGAGCUAAUACCGGAUAAUCCUUUCCCUCACAUGAGGGAAAGCUGAAAGACGGUUUCGGCUGUCACUUACAGAUGGGCCCGCGGCGCAUUAGCUAGUUGGUGAGGUAAUGGCUCACCAAGGCGACGAUGCGUAGCCGCCCUGAGAGGGUGAUCGGCCACACUGGGACUGAGACACGGCCCAGACUCCUACGGGAGGCAGCAGUAGGGAAUCUUCCGCAAUGGACGAAAGUCUGACGGAGCAACGCCGCGUGAACGAUGAAGGCCUUCGGGUCGUAAAGUUCUGUUGUCAGGGAAGAACAAGUACCGGAGUAACUGCCGGUACCUUGACGGUACCUGACCAGAAAGCCACGGCUAACUACGUGCCAGCAGCCGCAGUAAAAC
rnacentral:rRNA from 1 species